UGGAUCCAGAAAGAAAGUUUUGGUAAUUUUCCCACGUUGUAUAAGAGUUGUCCUUAUCUGAGCUGGUGGGGCUGUCAUGAGGAAAGGAGAGAAAUGAGGGCAAACAGCGAACAGAGAGGAUUUUGCAAGGAGAGGAGCGUGCUGGACCUGCUGUGGAACUGACGAGGUUGAGUUCCGGGAUGCGGGGAACGGAUAAAAGUGAGCACCAGCUGGGACUGGGGCCGCCUCUGACUUCCUGUUGCUGCGCCGGGCUGAUGCUGAAACCCCCUCCAGCUCCAUCUCUGAGAGCCGAGGAGGGCUUUUCCCUGCAGCCAAAGCCACCAGCUCUGCCGUUCCUAUCUGGAGAAGCCUUCAUCGCUUGGGAGUCCACCGUGUUUCCUACGUCCUGAGUGUGUUCUCAACUGCUCUGGAGCUCUGUGCCCCACGAGCCAGGCCAACGGCCUGUGGUGGGAAGGCCUGGAGCCCACCUACUUGGGGAGAACUCUAACAUAGAAACUGCUCUGAAGAGCUGCUCAUCCUACCAAAGUAAUCUGGGAGGAGCAAUAGGUAGCGAGACAGCCGGCGACCCUUGGACAGAGCAGGGAUUUACGGAGCUCUGAAGAAAACCCAAGAAAUCCCCACGCAGGGAUCUAGAGUGCCCAAACCUGCUCUGGUGCUUGAGACCGAGAGUAUCCAUAUCCUGACUCUUGUAUUUCGGCUUUGCUCUCAUUGGUUGCCCAGCCCAGCCCAUAGCUCAUGAAGGUCUUAUGGCAUGUGGUCCUUGGAGAUAGCCAUACACCCAGACGGACCUUGGAGAUAAUCGGCCCAAACUCACAGCUUCAUUACAUCUCAGACCCACAGGGAUAGGGAUGUAUUUGAUGUCCUCGUUCGUCCCAUUAAUUCCAUUUCCAUGAUGCAGAACUCUGAAGACUCUCCCUGAUAAGAAGUUCUUGCCCUCCUCCUGCCUUGCUCCUUCUAAGCCGAGUCUUUGAUCUCACUGGAUUUCUAGUUGUUCUACAUUUCCUUGUCAUUCAAGUUGAUUCAGCGUGUUCAAAAGAGGUGUUUGUUGUAAGAAACUUGGGCUGCCAAGAGGUGGCCUUGAGAAGAGACAGCAUCUCAGACAACAGGCGGUGGCAUAAAGUAGGGGAGAGUAUCAUAAGAAGCCAGCGGCUGUCCAGCUUGGUUGAAGUGGACGAAGAGGAGGAACGUGAAAUACAGCUGGAAAUGGACACUCAAGUAGGCAAUCAUUCACCUAGGACUUCUCUCAGUGACGGCAGAAGAUUUGAUCUGAAAGGGAGACCAGAAUUUAAGUUUCUCAUUUUAUAAAUGAGGAAACUGAGUGAAGAAACGGAGUUCCAAGUGGGGCAAAAUCUCUUCCGAAGGGGAAACUACUAGGAAAUGGCUGAGCCCAAACUCAAACUAAUCCCUCCCUCUUGGACUAGUCCAUGUUCUUUCUACCCUACAAUACCACGUGCCCAUUUUGGUCCAGUAAUUUAGUGGUGCUUACAAGCCUGCGGUCUCCAUUGCCAUUUUACCCACGUGGGAAUGGUGGUACAAAGAGGAUGAAUAUUUUGCCAAGUUGGCAGAACUUAUUGAUGGCCGAGCUGGCACUUGAACUCAUGGCUGCAAAUCUGUUAGCCAGAGUUCUUGAACCUGCCAUAAGGAAAUCGGGGAGAUCUGGAGAGAGGGAACCAGAAUCUGGACUACUUCAUCUGUUAUCCCCCGACUAGAAAAACAAAAUUCUCCAUGAGUAUUACCGGUUAUCCAUCUAUAGUUCCUUUAGGCAUUGUACGAAUGUUCUCAUCUUCAAGGAGAAUUCAAAUCAGAGGUCAUCGGCAAUGCUAGACCAGGUCACUCAGCGCGGGAUUGUAUUGUGGGGCUCCCAACCUUUGGUUUUGUCAUGUUAGGCACAAUUCAGUUGCUUUUCUAUUCCCCCAAUUUCGUCGUCCUGUGCUCUACAAUUCAAUAAAACAGUCAGUCAACAAGCAA